CGUCACACCAUGGGAGUGGGUUGCAAAAGAAGUAGGUAGCUUAACCUUCGGGAGGGCGCUUACCACUUUGUGAUUCAUGACUGGGGUGAAGUCGUAACAAGGUAACCGUAGGGGAACCUGCGGUUGGAUCACCUCCUUACCUUAAAGAA
rnacentral:rRNA from 5 species